UACGAAGGGGGCAAGCGUUGUCCGGAUUUACUGGGCGUAAAGAGCGCGCAGGCGGUCGUUCAAGUCGCGUGUGAAAGCCCCCGGCUCAACUGGGGAGGGUCACGCGAUACUGAUCGACUCGAAGGCAGGAGAGGGUAGUGGAAUUCCCGGUGUAGUGGUGAAAUGCGUAGAUAUCGGGAGGAACACCAGUGGCGAAGGCGACUACCUGGCCUGUUCUUGACGCUGAGGCGCGAAAGCUAGGGGAGCAAACGGG
rnacentral:rRNA from 1 species